GCAGUGGUGGUUCAAUGGCAGAACUCUCACCUUCCAUGUGGGAGACUGGGGUUCGAUUCCAGGCCAAUGCA
rnacentral:tRNA from 1 species